AUAAAUCGCUAGGGGCGCUAUUUAGCUGAGAUAAUCGAGAGAUUGGUCCCUUUGAACCUGAUUUGGUUAGCACCAACGUAGGGAAGUGAGUGGAUAUAGUU
rfam:Listeria grayi DSM 20601 genomic scaffold SCAFFOLD1, whole genome shotgun sequence.